rnacentral:pre_miRNA from 1 species
AGUAGAAUUGCUGGGUCAUGUGGUUUAUUUAUGUUUAACUUUUUAAGAAACUGCCCAACUGUUUUCCAAAGUGGCUCUACCAUUUUACAUCCCACCAGCAAU